rnacentral:rRNA from 1 species
AGAGUUUGAUCCUGGCUCAGGAUGAACGCUGGCGGCGUGCCUAAUACAUGCAAGUCGAGCGAACAGACGAGGAGCUUGCUCCUUUGACGUUAGCGGCGGACGGGUGAGUAACACGUAGGUAACCUACCUAUAAGACUGGGAUAACUUCGGGAAACCGGAGCUAAUACCGGAUAAUAUUUCGAACCGCAUGGUUCGAUAGUGAAAGAUGGCUUUGCUAUCACUUAUAGAUGGACCUGCGCCGUAUUAGCUAGUUGGUAAGGUAACGGCUUACCAAGGCAACGAUACGUAGCCGACCUGAGAGGGUGAUCGGCCACACUGGAACUGAGACACGGUCCAGACUCCUACGGGAGGCAGCAGUAGGGAAUCUUCCGCAAUGGGCGAAAGCCUGACGGAGCAACGCCGCGUGAGUGAUGAAGGUCUUCGGAUCGUAAAACUCUGUUAUUAGGGAAGAACAAACGUGUAAGUAACUGUGCACGUCUUGACGGUACCUAAUCAGAAAGCCACGGCUAACUACGUGCCAGCAGCCGCGGUAAU